GAUGUCCUUCGGAAAACACGAGCCGCCGUAGCCGAUGCCAGCGUUGAGGAAAUUGCGCCCGAUGCGCCGAUCCAUGCCGAUGCCAUCGGCGACUUUCUCCACAUCCGCGCCGCUCGCUUCGCAGAUCGCGGAGACGGCGUUGAUGUAGGAAAUUUUGAGCGCGAGGAAUGAAUUCGCGGCGUGCUUGAUGAGCUCGGCGCUAUUGAUGUCGGUGACGAGGAUCGGAGCCAUGAACGGCUCGUAGAUCUUCUUCAUCAGAUCAAUCGCGCGUUCGCUCUGCGCGCCGAUCACAAUGCGGUCGGGCUUCAUCAGGUCGGCAACCG
rnacentral:misc_RNA from 1 species